GAGUGACACGGUGCGGCCUGACGGGGGCCCAGUGGCCAGCCCGUCACUGUCACAACUGCCCUGUAACUCCUGGGGUGGGGCGAGAAGGGAGAGGGAAGGGAGGGGUGGGAGAGAGGGGUAGAGAGAGAGGAGAGGGAGAGGAAAAAAAAAACAGCCAGGGGUUCCUGCUCCCCGUCACUGACCGGUCACCCCUGGGUUAGAGAGAGGGGGAAUCAGCCAGGGGUCCUGCUCCCCGUCACUGACCGGUCACCCCUGGGUUAGAGAGAGGGGGAAUCAGCCAGGGGUCCAGCUCCCUGUCACUGACCGGUCACCCCUGGGUUAGAGAGAAGGGGAAUCAGCCAGGGGUCCAGCUCCCUGUCACUGACCGGUCACCCCUGGGUUAGAGAGAGGGGGAAUCAGCCAGGGGUCCCACUCCCCGUCACUGACCGGUCACCCCUGGGUUAGAGAGAGGGGGAAUUAGCCAGGGGUCCAGCUCCCCAUCACUGACCGGUCACCCCUGGGUUAGAGAGGGGGGGAAUCGGCCAGGGGUCCAGCUCCCUGUCACUGACCGGUCACCCCUGGGUUAGGGAGAAGGGGAAUCAGUCAGGGGUCCAGCUCCCCGUCACUGACCGGUCACCCCUGGGUUAGAGAGAGGGGGAAUCAGCCGCGGUUCCUGCUCCCCGUCACUGACCGGUCACCCCUGGGUUAGAGAGAGGGGGAAUCAGCCACGGUUCCUGCUCCCCUUUACAGUCAUCCCACCUCUCCCGGAAGUUCCAGGAGUCUCCCGCAUAUUGAUAGUGGCUCCCUGACGCCCGCAAAUUACAUACAAUAUCCAAGAAAUCGAUGAGAGAGAGGGAAAUGGGGAGACGGGGAAGGGGAGAGAAUCCUCAUUGGUCUCUCUCUCUCUCUCUCUCUCUCUCUCUCUCUCUCCCUCUCUCUCCCUCUCUCUCCCUCUCUCCCUCUCUCCCUCUCUCCCUCUCUCCCUCUCUCCCUCUCUCCCUCUCCCUCUCUCCCUCUCUCCCUCUCUCUUUCUCUCUCUUCGGUUUAGUGUCCGGCAGCGCCAUGGCAGAGUGUUCCAAUAAGAUAUAAAACGUCCUUCACCCCGGACUACACUAAAGUGCACCCCUGCCUAAUCGGGGUGAAAAAUAUCGACAGUGUUGCUCGCUGCGCUGUUUGCAACAGAGUCUUUUCUAUUGCCCAUGGAGGGUUAAAAUGUAAAAGACGUGUUGAGGUGGGUUUAACAGGUGUCAGUCGUUCAUUAGCAUAGCUAACGUGAUGUAAACUAGCUGGCCGGCUGCUAAGGAGCUGCUCGAUUGACGUCCUAAUAGCGUUGAGACUGCCAACAAAAUAUUCAAGAAGAAAUUUUUAUAGAUGAGUAUAUGUGUAGUUUCAAUAUGUGAUCAAAUAAAUUGUGUUCUUUCAUAAUCAAAUGUCCCGUCAAAUACACCCUUGGAGGUCGACGGAGGGGGGAUAUGGGGUUGCGGGGGCGGGGGUGCUACCUCCCUGAAAUGAGUUUUUGCAGGAUGGGAAGUCUGCCAAGUGGCGGUAAUGCACCAUUAAGCUGGGUGCCAACCGCCGUAAGACAAGACGGAGAGAGAGAAAGGGGGGAGGAUGUCUGCAUCACUGCCCCAUGAUCACUGGGUUGGGGAGGAGGGAGGUGAAUCCGCCAGGGUCCCUUGAGGCAGAUGGUGAAAUGGGACAGAAACAAUGAAGCAAGCAGCUGCCCGGAGAGGGUAACCGUGUCGUCAUCAUCGGGACCUCCCGAGUCCCGCUCACACUCCCGCCGGGGGCUUCUGUGCAGGAGCUGGGAGAGGGGCAGGGCAAACUCACAGGGGUCGGUGGUGGAUGGGACACAUUUCCUUCACCCCCCCCUCCCCCGCGGGAGGAGAUCUGCUGAUGCUGUAAGUCCAAAGCCGGGCGCACGAAAUCGAGGGGAGCGCAGCGCCCGCGAAGAUGAAUAAAUAGCCGAGACCCUUCAUUUUCUCUCACCCUCAAGCGUUUUAAUUUUACUUUGAGGGGACUCUGUGGAAAUAGCUUUCUCCAGUUAAUAGCCGGUGGACAUCCUCUGCCCGAAGCGUCGACUGUACUUUUUUUUCCACAGAUGCUGAGUGAGUUCUUCCUCGCAUCAUUUUGUGUGGAGUUCCUUGGCGGACGGGAAACGCGAUAUUGAGCACAGCAGGACAUCAGCACCAUCUCUACCUGCUCGGGAGGUUCUUCAUGACAUCUAAACCUGUGACAAACUUAUAUAAAUGCGUAGUGGAGUGCAUUGGCACCAAUGCCUUUGUAGUGGAUCCGGCCCGGUCCAUCACGGGUAAAGCCCUCCAGACUACUGAGCACGUCGACAUGAAACCCUGUCGUAGGAAAGCAGCGUCCAUCAUCAGAGAUCCCCACCACCCAGGCCGUGCUCUCUUCUUCAGGUAGAAGGUACAGGAGCCUCAGGACUCGCACCACCAGGUUCAGGAACAGUUACCACCCCUCAACUAUCAGGUAGAAGGUACAGGAGCCUCAGGACUCGCACCACCAGGUUCAGGAACAGUUACUACCCCUCAACCAUCAGGAAGGAGGUACAGGAGCCUCAGGACUCGCACCACCAGGUUCAGGAACAGUUACCACCCCUCAACCAUAUCAGGCUCCUGAACAAAAGGGACAGCUACACUCAUCUAUUGAGAUGUCCCCACAACCAAUGAUCUCACUUUAAGGACUCUUUAUCUCACAUUCUGGUUAUUUAUUGCUAUUUAUUUAUAUUUGCAUUUGCACAGUUUGCUGUCUUCUGCACCCUGGUUGAUCUUUCACUGAUCCUGUUUACAGUUACUGUUCUGUAGAUCUGCUGAGGAUGCCCACAGGAAAAUGAACGUCGGGGUUGCAUGUGGUGACAUACAUGCACAUGAAUAAUAAAAUUUACUUUGAACGUCGAUUGUAGAGGUUUUACGGUUGCCCCACCUUCCCUUAAUAGGAUUUUCCCGUGGGGGGGGCAGUCACGGUGCAGGUAGAUGGGAGUGGGGAGUGUAAAUGGUUCAGCACAGAUUAGAUGGGCCAAAGGGCCUGUUUCUGUGCUGUACCUUUUCUCUGACUCUACAGCGCCCCCAUCUGGAAACACUGCAGCCCAGUCUCAGUCUCACCCCACACACUGAGAGGUAUUUGCAUUAUAUUCUUGUCAAAAUCUCCCCCUCCCCUCCCCGUUUGAUCACUGUUCACCCCCUUCCUCCCAGGACUUGAGAACAUUGUUCUGUGGUUAAUAAAACCAUCAGGGUCCCUGAACUGAACCCGCUUCACUCACCUCAGCACUGCCCACUCACUUUCAAGGACUCAACUCAUAUUCUCAGUAUUAUUUACUUUUUGUAUUUGUAGUUUGUCUUUCACACGUCAGUCAGCCCUUGUGGGUAGUUUUUCAUUGUUUCUAUUGUAUUUCCUUGUUCUACCGUGAAUGCCUGCAAGAACAGGAUUCAUAGGCACAAAAUAAAGUGGCCCCUUUCAUGUA